AUGGCGAUCACCGCCCAGGUUCCGGACAUCAUGGGCGAGCGCCAGUCCGGCCAGGAUGUCCGCACCCAGAACGUCUCGGCGUGCCAGGCGGUGGCCAACAUCGUCAAGUCAUCGCUCGGCCCCGUCGGGCUCGACAAGAUGCUGGUGGAUGAUAUUGGUGAUGUCACGAUCACAAAUGACGGAGCCACCAUUCUGAGGAUGUUGGAGGUCGAGCAUCCUGCGGCGAAGGUUCUCGUGGAAUUGGCUGAGCUCCAAGACCGGGAGGUUGGAGAUGGAACUACCUCUGUCGUCAUCAUUGCGGCAGAGUUGCUGAAGAGAGCCAAUGAACUUGUGAGGAAUAAGAUUCACCCGACCUCUAUUAUUAGUGGCUACAGGCUUGCUAUGCGUGAAGCAUGCAAGUAUGUUGAGGAAAAGCUGUCUGUCAAGGUGGAUAAACUUGGAAAAGACUCCCUUAUAAACUGUGCAAAAACUAGCAUGUCCUCGAAACUGAUUACAACGGACGAUAAUUUCUUUGCAAAUCUGGUUGUAGAAGCAGUUCAAGCUGUGAAGACUACAAACUCAAAGGGAGAAGUGAAGUAUCCAAUCAAGAGUAUUAAUAUUUUGAAAGCUCAUGGUAAAAGUGCCAAGGAAAGUUACCUGCUGAAUGGUUAUGCGCUGAACACUGGCCGUGCAGCUCAAGGAAUGCCUACCAGAGUAACCCCUGCUAGAAUUGCUUGUCUUGAUUUCAACCUUCAGAAGACGAAAAUGCAAAUGGGUGUUCAAGUCCUUGUAUCUGAUCCAAGGGAACUGGAGAAGAUCCGUGAGAGAGAAUCUGACAUAACGAAGGAGCGAAUUGAGAAAGUUCUCAAGGCUGGUGCUAAUGUUGUAUUUACCACUAAGGGAAUUGAUGAUAUGUCAUUGAAGUACUUUGUUGAGGCUGGAGCAAUUGCAGUAAGACGUGUGCGUAAGGAGGAUUUGCGCCAUGUUGCCAAGGCAACAGGUGCAACAAUGGUGACUACUUUUGCUGACAUGGAGGGUGAAGAAACAUUUGAUCCAUCAUUCCUUGGACAUGCCGACGAGGUCGUUGAGGAAAGGAUUUCUGAUGAUGAAAUAAUUCUGGUGAAAGGCACAAAGAACACAAGUGCGGUUUCCAUUAUACUCAGAGGAGCAAAUGACUUCAUGCUAGACGAGAUUGAACGGUCUUUGCACGAUGCACUCUGCAUUGUGAAGAGAACUUUGGAAUCCAAUACGUAUCUGCAUAUCUCGUCUGCCAUUUCACAUAAUAGCGCUAGCAUUAGAUCUUCUUUCCUGGUCGGUGAAUAUAGUUCUGUAGUUGCUGGUGGUGGUGCUGUAGAAACUGCAUUAUCUGUGUACCUGGAGAAUCUUGCUACAACUCUUGGAUCCAGGGAACAACUGGCAAUUGCUGAAUUUGCAGAAUCUUUGUUGAUCAUACCAAAGGUCCUUGCUGUUAAUGCCGCAAAAGAUGCAACUGACCUUGUUGCAAAGCUUAGGUCAUGUCAUCAUAAAGCUCAAACAAAUGCUGAUAAGCAGCACUUAUCAAGCAUGGGUCUUGAUCUGACAAAAGGUGUAAUCCGCAACAACCUUGAACAUGGCGUCAUCGAGCCAGCAAUGAGCAAAGUGAAGAUCAUUCAGUUUGCCACAGAAGCAGCCAUUACCAUUGUGAGGAUUGACGACAUGAUCAAGCUUGACAAGGAAGAGUCUGGCCAAGAAGAGUAG
rnacentral:rRNA from 1 species